AAGAUAGAACCUGAAGCAAAGAAAGAACCAGAGAUGCAGGGUAUGACAGAUUGUCGCAGUUCAUUGUUGUGAAUGGUUGCUUGUUAAAUCAGGUUUGGCACGCAUCUACCGUGUCAGAGACAUCGUCUUGUGAGAACUCUGGCCUACCUUUGUUUCUUACCCUCUGGUUGAAGCAGUAAAGUGCUUUUAUGUUGACUUGCAUCAUUAUUGGUUUGAGUUUUCUAAAAAUUAUUUUCAUGAAUCAGUUUGACAAUUCUAUCGAAC
rnacentral:lncRNA from 1 species